rnacentral:rRNA from 1 species
GACGAACGCUGGCGGCGUGCUUAACACAUGCAAGUCGAACGGAAAGGCCCUGCUUUUGUGGGGUGCUCGAGUGGCGAACGGGUGAGUAACACGUGAGUAACCUGCCCUUGACUUUGGGAUAACUUCAGGAAACUGGGGCUAAUACCGGAUAGGAGCUCCUGCUGCAUGGUGGGGGUUGGAAAGUUUCGGCGGUUGGGGAUGGACUCGCGGCUUAUCAGCUUGUUGGUGGGGUAGUGGCUUACCAAGGCUUUGACGGGUAGCCGGCCUGAGAGGGUGACCGGCCACAUUGGGACUGAGAUACGGCCCAGACUCCUACGGGAGGCAGCAGUGGGGAAUAUUGCACAAUGGGCGGAAGCCUGAUGCAGCAACGCCGCGUGCGGGAUGACGGCCUUCGGGUUGUAAACCGCUUUCGCCUGUGACGAAGCGUGAGUGACGGUAAUGGGUAAAGAAGCACCGGCUAACUACGUGCCAGCAGCCGCGGUGAUACGUAGGGUGCGAGCGUUGUCCGGAUUUAUUGGGCGUAAAGGGCUCGUAGGUGGUUGAUCGCGUCGGAAGUGUAAUCUUGGGGCUUAACCCUGAGCGUGCUUUCGAUACGGGUUGACUUGAGGAAGGUAGGGGAGAAUGGAAUUCCUGGUGGAGCGGUGGAAUGCGCAGAUAUCAGGAGGAACACCAGUGGCGAAGGCGGUUCUCUGGGCCUUUCCUGACGCUGAGGAGCGAAAGCGUGGGGAGCGAACAGGCUUAGAUACCCUGGUAGUCCACGCUGUAAACGGUGGGUACUAGGUGUGGGGUCCAUUCCACGGGUUCCGUGCCGUAGCUAACGCUUUAAGUACCCCGCCUGGGGAGUACGGCCGCAAGGCUAAAACUCAAAGGAAUUGACGGGGCCCCGCACAAGCGGCGGAGCAUGCGGAUUAAUUCGAUGCAACGCGUAGAACCUUACCUGGGUUUGACAUGGAUCGGGAGUGCUCAGAGAUGGGUGUGCCUCUUUUGGGGUCGGUUCACAGGUGGUGCAUGCCUGUCGUCAGCUCGUGUCGUGAGAUGUUGGGUUAAGUCCCGCAACGAGCGCAACCCUUGUUCACUGUUGCCAGCACGUUAUGGUGGGGACUCAGUGGAGACCGCCGGGGUCAACUCGGAGGAAGGUGGGGAUGACGUCAAGUCCUCAUGCCCCUUAUGUCCAGGGCUUCACGCAUGCUACAAUGGCUGGUACAGAGAGUGGCGAGCCUGUGAGGGUGAGCGGAUCUCGGAAAGCCGGUCUCAGUUCGGAUUGGGGUCUGCAACUCGACCUCAUGAAGUCGGAGUCCCUAGUAAUCGCAGAUCAGCAACGCUGCGGUGAAUACGUUCCCGGGGCU